UUAGAUCUACAAGGGUGGUGGGAUAGAAUAGCAAGAAGGACCCCAGGAAAACUAAGCAGACAACUAUUAUGGGUAGCAUCUUCGGCUCUCAUAUAUCACAUAUGGCUAGCUAGGAAUGAUGCAGUUUGGAAUUACAAAGUGCCGCACCCACAGACCAUUUGCAGUAAGGAACAGAUGGAAUGCAAAAUGAAGAUAGGUGAUAAAGUACAUAGGAGGUGUAGGAGGAAAGAUAGGAGCUGGAUUGAAG
rnacentral:lncRNA from 1 species